rnacentral:rRNA from 1 species
GACAGAGGGUGCAAACGUUGUUCGGAAUUACUGGGCGUAAAGCGUGCGUAGGCGGUGUCUUAAGUUUGUUGUGAAAUCUCCCGGCUUAACCGGGAGGGUGCGGCGAAUACUGAGAUGCUGGAGUGCCGGAGAGGUAAGCGGAAUUCCUGGUGUAGCGGUGAAAUGCGUAGAUAUCAGGAGGAACACCUGCGGUGUAGACGGCUUACUGGACGGUAACUGACGCUGAGGCACGAAAGCGUGGGUAGCAAACAGG